rnacentral:lncRNA from 1 species
GGGUAAGGAGACUUUUAUGCUCCUAAGCCAUUUUCGAUGAUAGAGCUUCUAAAUCGACAAUUGGUUCUGUUAAACUUGAUUUAGCGUAUUUGAAGUAUCUAGAAAAUAAAUUUUACGAUUUUUUAAUAUUAUUUACCUAGCAAUCGAAAGAGUUCAAAAUCAACGGCUGAAAAUAAAAAUCUCGCAAAAAGUAAUGAUAUAGCACUAAAAUUUUUUAUCAGAGAUAUUGAUCUUUCAGUAAAUAAUAUAAAAAUUUUUUUAUCAAAAUUUCAUCUGAUUUGAAUACUUUCUCACCAUAAAACUUACGAACGGCAUACAUCAACCAUUAAAAAUUGUUGAUUUUGAAUCAUUUCGAUUCUUAGGUAAAUGAUAAUCGAAAAUCUACAAAAAUUAUUGUUUAAAUAUUUCAAAUACGCUAAAUCAAGUCUAAUGGAGCUAAUCAUCGAUUCGAAAGUACCAUCAUCGAAAACGGUUUAGGAGCACGAAAACCUCCGUGUUCCUAACAGCACACAAGUCCUACUCUAAUUGUUCAAUCUAGUUUU